GCCAGGCAUGGUGGCGCAUGCCUGUAGUCCCAGCUACAUGGGAGGCUGAGGCAGGAGAAUUGCUUGAACCCGGGAGGGAGAGGUUGCAGUGAGCCGAGAUCGGGCCACUGCACUACAGCCUGGGCGACAGAGCGAGACUCUGUCUCAA
ensembl:misc_RNA Metazoa_SRP Metazoan signal recognition particle RNA